ensembl:lncRNA
CUACCAUAUGUUGUAGUCAAUAGUUCAAAAGGGGAUUUUGUAACAGCAAUCCACUUCAGAUCUGUAGAUUCACACCUAUAAAGAUGGAUUGCAUCAGGAGCCUCAAAGACCCCAGAGAGUCUCAUUGCAGGUGAUUUUAGAGAGUUGCCCUAACAGGAUGGAGGCCAGAAUGGAGGAGAUCACACAAGCUGCAGGAUAGAAGGUGCCUUUCAGCAUUGCUGCAGAUGCCUGCAUCCCACCCCACACCAUCCUCCCGCAGGACAGCCAAGCAGAGACUGGUUCUCUCACACAUACAAACUGAGACAGAAUUUUGGCAUAAAUAAGCACAGAUCCCCAGACCCUAGAUGCCUAAUGCUGCUGUGGAUUAUCAUUUCUUUCUCUUAUGUUUGGG